CCUACGGGGCGCAGCAGUGAGGAAUAUUGGUCAAUGGACGAGAGUCUGAACCAGCCAAGUAGCGUGACGGAUGACUGCCCUAUGGGUUGUAAACUUCUUUUAUAUGGGGGUAAAACGCUCUACGCGUGGGAUUCUGUAAGUACCAUACGAAUAAGGAUCGGCUAACUCCGUGCCAGCAGCCGCGGUAAUACGGAGGAUUCGAGCGUUAUCCGGAUUUAUUGGGGUUAAAGGGGGCGUAGGCGGAUAUUUAAGUUAGUUGUUAAAGUAUGGGGCUCAACCGUAAAAUUGCAGUUGAAACUGGCAGGCUAGAGAACAGUAGAGGUAGGCGGAAUUCGUGGUGUAGCGGUGAAAUGCAUAGAUAUCACAUAGAACACCGAUUGCGAAGGCAGUUCACUAGACU
rnacentral:rRNA from 1 species